rnacentral:rRNA from 1 species
AUGUGUUCUUUUUGCCCACAGGUUGAAACCUCCCAGCACUUAUUCUUUGGUUGUUCUGUGGCCAAAGUGGUCUGGCGUUUGAUUGGGGUCACACUUGGGACUGAUCUGUGUCCUAGUAAUUACUGGCAGUUUUUUGUCUGGUGUCACUCCUUUUUACCGGGAUAUGAAUCCUUCUAUACUGUGGCACUGAGGGCUGUCACUUGGGCCAUCUGGCUGGCUCGUAAUAAAGCUACCUUCGAGAAAAAAAUGACCAAAUCUCGUUUUGAGAUUGUCUUUACGGCAGUGUCUUUUCUCUUAUAUUGGGCAGGUUUACAAGCGGGAGAAGAUGCCAAGCAACUCCGAGCGGGCGCUGAGAUGAUUCGCAAUGGGGCUAUGCUGAUGAUGAGGGCAUGCGACGCGUCCAAUGGUAGAAAGUGA